rnacentral:lncRNA from 1 species
AUGCAGUGCAUAGCCGCUCCUUUCAUUUUUAGACUGAGGAAAGAGCUGCAGAAAAAAGCUUUCGUAAACACUGUGCUUCUGAUCAUUCUAAUCCUUUAUUACCUGAAGGGGCGGUUGCAGGAAGCUGCUACAGGGAAGGAGGUUUACAAUUUCCUAAAGGUUUGGGAUUGUGCGAUGAAGCAGCGUAUUUUAGAUGCUACGGAGAAUGUUCAGAGCAACAUGGUCAAAAGCGUUAGCCACCAUCUCUGCAGUGGGCUUGGUGGAAGCAGAUGA